AGCUCUGUACAGUGGCAGUAUUGUAGUCAAUGAGGUUUAUCCAAGGCACAAUUAUUGCCAAUUGAAAGUAGUCAUAAUUUUUUUCUUUGAUUUUGCAAAAUUUAUACCUCAUUUUUUGUUCUUAUUGCAGG
rnacentral:snRNA from 2 species